CCGACAGGCUGCAGAAGCCGCCCCUGGAAGCACAGCGCACGGCCUGGACGCCCCAGACCACAGCUCGGGCGGUGAGUCCGGCUAGGCCCACCUCCCAGCCCGUCCCUCCGGGUGUCCUUCGGAGGCCGGGCACCCGCCGGUCUGCAGAAGCUGGCGGGGUCUCGGGCGAGCGGCCCAGCGGCACGAGUUCCCCAGGAGGCGACGAUUCCGGGAGUCCUGCUGGCACGCGUAACUCUCGGCGUUCCCGCUACGGUGUCAGCAAAGUCCUGGCAUUUUUCUCCGGCCUUAAAGGGUGAUUGGUUAUUGCUUUGCACGGUAACCCUGGAAGCACUCUGACAUUGACCAAAAAGGAUCUCCAGCAGUGUCUCCGUCCUUGAGAUGACCUUGGGACGUGGACGCGUGGGAACCUUGGUGGACUUUCUGAAGGAGCUAUUCCCAGAGCUGGGGACGUGUACAAAAGCUGCAAAGACACACUGGUGGCCUGGAGUAGGUGCCCAUUCCGACUUUGCCUAUCGCCUAACUGGAUAGGGUAGGAGAACAAAAGUCUGUCUUUUGAGUCGAAACUAAAUUCUCAAAAGCAGCGCUUCAGUUACAAAGAUUUAGUUCCCCUCAAGUAGGUAAGUAGGAUUUCUUCUAGCUUAAUGAGAAAAAAAAAAAAAAAAAAAAAAAAAAAAAAAAAAAAAACUAAGAAAGAAAAAGGAAA